UGCAAGAGCUUCACCUGCGGAUCGACAGUGCCGUGCGUUCCGUCACUCCGGAAAUGCUGGUAAACCGUCGAGGCAGCCUCCUGCAGCGUGGGAGGUGCUGCAUUCAGGCGAAUGGCGGACACUUCGAGCACCUUCUUCAUUGAGGUGCUAUGUCCAGCACUGUCUGCGCCCCUGUGUGUUCCUGUACAAGACGACGACCGGUCGGUCAAAUUGUAAAACAACUUCAAUACAAAAGGUACGUUUUACAACAGCAUCUUAACAAUAUCAAUUAGAUAUGCUAAUAAAUUUGUUUUUCGUUUCAUGUGAACAUCGUUCUCGGUGGGAACAAUCUUUCGAUCGACUUCGAAAAAAGUAAGUAAACACAAUACAGUACAAUAUUAUUUUUUAAAUUAAUUAAUUAAUUUUUUUUUCCUUUUCUAUUUCUUUUACAUGAACGUGAGAGAAAGCGGCGCAAGUUCAAUAAGUGAGGCUAUCAAUAAAAAGUAAACAGAACUCGCCUAUCAUCAUGCUACAGUCAAAGAUUGUCAUUAUCAGGGUGAUGAGAAAAGGAAAUAGAAGAACAGCAUCCUAGAUGACCUAACCUGAGGACAACAAGCGGGGACGGCCAUCUAGAAUUUCCAGUAUCU